ACUGAAUCACCACAAAAAAACAUAAUUGAAUAUAAUACGUAAUUUCGUAAAGUUUCCCGUUGUUUUCCAAUUAUUAUGAAAACCGCUUGGACAAAAUUAUCUCCUAAAAAUACUACCCGGAUAAAAUUUCCUUUCAGAAAGAGUACUACAUUGGAAACAUCGGAGCAAAACUUCUGGUAGAAAAGUUGUUCACAGUUAAAAAUAUUUAAAAAAUAAACAUCAUAAUAAAACCAAAACAUUACUCGUUCGCUUCAGAAUCUAAAACAAUCGUUCGCACUAUCGUUUUAUAGUAAAAAGCAUAUCAUCUUCGCUGUUAAAUUCGACUCCGGUAACGAAGCAAUUACGGCUCACGGGCGUUUUUCGUUACAAUAACCAUAAAUUUAAUAAAUGAUUAAAAAAAAUUAAUGUUUUUUUAGUAAAAGAAAUCCAACCACGGUUUUCCAACUCGAAAGACGAAAUUCGAUAUUGACGUAAAAUACAAUACGACGGUAAUUAAUUAUCUUUAAGUGUAAUAUUUUGGGCGAUUGAUGCGACGCGAGGGGAACAAUCCGUCUGUGUAUAAAUUCAUAUAAUAAUUAUUCAUUCGAGUCCU